CGGCGCGCCUAACACAUGCAAGUCGAACGGAGCUGUUUUCUCUGAAGUUUUCGGAUGGAAGAGAGUUCAGCUUAGUGGCGAAUGGGUGAGUAACACGUGAGCAACCUGCCUUUCAGUGGGGGACAACAUUUGGAAACGAAUGCUAAUACCGCAUAAGACCACAGUGUCGCAUGGCACAGGGGUCAAAGGAUUUAUCCGCUGAAAGAUGGGCUCGCGUCCGAUUAGCUAGAUGGUGAGGUAACGGCCCACCAUGGCGACGAUCGGUAGCCGGACUGAGAGGUUGAACGGCCACAUUGGGACUGAGACACGGCCCAGACUCCUACGGGAGGCAGCAGUGGGGAAUAUUGCACAAUGGGGGAAACCCUGAUGCAGCGACGCCGCGUGGAGGAAGAAGGUCUUCGGAUUGUAAGCUGUUGUCGCAAGGGAGGAAGACAGUGACGGUACCUUGUGAGAAAGUCACGGCUAACUACGUGCCAGCAGCCGCGGUAAUACGUAGGUGACAAGCGUUGUCCGGAUUUACUGGGUGUAAAGGGCGCGUAGGCGGACUGUCAAGUCAGUCGUGAAAUACCGGGGCUUAACCCCGGGGCUGCGAUUGAAACUGACAGCCUUGAGUAUCGGAGAGGAAAGCGGAAUUCCUAGUGUAGCGGUGAAAUGCGUAGAUAUUAGGAGGAACACCAGUGGCGAAGGCGGCUUUCUGGACUGUUACUGACACUGAGGCACGAAAGUGUGGGGAGCAAACAGGAUUAGAUACCCUGGUAGUCCACACCGUAAACGAUGAGCACUAGGUGUCGGGGUCGCAAGACUUCGGUGCCGCAGUUAACGCAUUAAGUGUUCCGCCUGGGGAGUACGUACGCAAGUAUGAAACUCAAAGGAAUUGACGGGGACCCGCACAAGCAGCGGAGCAUGUGGUUUAAUUCGAAGCAACGCGAAGAACCUUACCAGGACUUGACAUCCCUCUGAAACCCCUGAUAACGAAGGGGCCUCUACGGACAGAGGAGACAGGUGGUGCAUGGUUGUCGUCAGCUCGUGUCGUGAGAUGUUGGGUUAAGUCCCGCAACGAGCGCAACCCUUGCUGUUAGUUGCCAUCAUUGAGUUGGGCACUCUAACGGGACUGCCGGGGAUAACUCGGAGGAAGGUGGGGAUGACGUCAAAUCAUCAUGCCCCUUAUGUUCUGGGCUACACACGUGCUACAAUGGUCGGUACAAAGAGCAGCAAGACCGCGAGGUGGAGCAAAUCUCAAAAACCGAUCCCAGUUCGGAUUGCAGGCUGCAACUCGCCUGCAUGAAGUUGGAGUUGCUAGCAAUCGCGAAUCAGAAUGUCGCGGUGAAUGCGUUCCCGGGUCUUGUACACACCGCCCGUCACACCACGGAAGUUGGGGGUGCCCAAAGUUGGUCAAAAAAUAGAUUACCUAAGGCAAAACCAAUGACUGG
rnacentral:rRNA from 1 species